rnacentral:rRNA from 1 species
GACAGAGGUGCCGAGCGUUAGGCGGAAUCACUGGGCUUAAAGCGUGUGUAGGCGGGCCGUUAAGUGCCCCGUGAAAUCCCCCGGCUCAACCGGGGAACGGCGGGGCAUACUGGCGGCCUUGAGCCACCUAGGGGCGAGCGGAACAAGCGGUGGAGCGGUGAAAUGCGUAGAUAUCGCUUGGAACGCCGACGGUGAAAACAGCUCGCUGGGGGUGUGCUGACGCUGAGACACGAAAGCCAGGGGAGCGAACGGG